GCAUUCAACUCGGUGGUCGUCUGUCUGGUUCCAAUGUCACAACUUAACUCUAAUGGAUAAAGAUGUUGCACUGGUCGUUCCAUGAAACUUUUCCCCGCACGUAGCUUUACCGCUAUUACGACACCAUCUUUCCCUUCGAAUAGUUCGUGUACAAUUCCCAGCGGUCAUUCUCCUCUAUUUCUUUCAUCUGAUUUAAUUAUAACAACGUCUCCGACCAAUAGGGUAAAAGGCUUCCCUUUAAGCAUGAUGUGUCGUUCGCGUAACCCUCGCACAUAUUCGUUUGCCCAUCGUUUCCAAACAGCUUCUUUGCAACGUUUCAAG